UGAUCCUUCGAUGUCGGCU
rnacentral:ncRNA from 3 species